CGAACGGUAGAGUAGCAAUACUCGAGAGUGGCGAACGGGUGAGUAAUAUAUCGGAACGUGCCCAGUCGUGGGGGAUAACGUAGAGAAAUUUACGCUAAUACCGCAUACGAUCUAAGGAUGAAAGCGGGGGAUUCGCAAGAACCUCGCGCGAUUGGAGCGGCUGAUAUCAGAUUAGGUUGUUGGUGAGGUAAAAGCUCACCAAGCCGACGAUCUGUAGCUGGUUUGAGAGAACGACCAGCCACACUGGGACUGAGACACGGCCCAGACUCCUACGGGAGGCAGCAGUGGGGAAUUUUGGACAAUGGGCGAAAGCCUGAUCCAGCAAUGCCGCGUGCAGGAAGAAGGCCUUCGGGUUGUAAACUGCUUUUGUACGGAACGAAAAGGCUCUUUCUAAUAAAGAGGGCCCAUGACGGUACCGUAAGAAUAAGCACCGGCUAACUACGUGCCAGCAGCCGCGGUAAUACGUAGGGUGCGAGCGUUAAUCGGAAUUACUGGGCGUAAAGCGUGCGCACGCGGUUCUAUAAGACAGAUGUGAAAUCCCCGGGCUCAACCUGGGAAUGGCAUUUGUGACUGUAUAGCUAGAGUACGGUAGAGGGGGAUGGAAUUCCGCGUGUGGCAGUGUGGUGCGUACAUCUGUGGAGGAGCAUCG
rnacentral:rRNA from 1 species